GGGGAUGACUUGGCUUCGACAGGAGUAGGUCAAAGUCGUGUAGCAUGCCGAGUGGAAACUCGUAAAACAUUCACCCUAAAUUUAGAUGCAAACAACACAUCUUAUCGCCCAGUAGCAGUAGCUGCAUAAUUGGGCAGUCGGCUGUUCGGUUGUCAGGUUCCGUUAGUCGGCUUCAUCUUCUAUAUCUGACUUUGGUAGCUCCUUCUCCCCAAAGGGGUUACCGAGACUUUUUGGGGAUAGAUAGCGGUUGGGUCUGUGUCCCCUUCUGCUGUCGAAACUCUUCGACACAGAGAAGCAUGUAUAGAAGCACGGUGGCGACUGCUCUUGGACUCGGGUUCAAUUCCCGACAUCUCCACCA
rnacentral:tmRNA from 1 species